rnacentral:rRNA from 1 species
AAGUUUGCGGCUCAACCGUAAAAUUGCAGUUGAUACUGUCAGUCUUGAGUACAGUAGAGGUGGGCGGAAUUCGUGGUGUAGCGGUGAAAUGCUUAGAUAUCACAAAGAACUCCGAUUGCGAAGGCAGCUCACUGGACUGCAACUGACACUGAUGCUCGAAAGUGUGGGUAUCAAACAGGAUUAGAUACCCUGGUAGUCCACACAGUAAACGAUGAAUACUCGCUGUUUGCGAUAUACAGUAAGCGGCCAAGCGAAAGCAUUAAGUAUUCCACCUGGGGAGUACACCGGCAACGGUGAAACUCAAAGGGAAUUGACGGGGGCCCGCACAAGCGGAGGAACAUGUGGUUUAAUUCGAUGAUACGCGAGGAACCUUACCCGGGCUUAAAUUGCAGUGGAAUGAUGUGGAAACAUGUCAGUGAGCAAUCACCGCUGUGAAGGUGCUGCAUGGUUGUCGUCAGCUCGUGCCGUGAGGUGUCGGCUUAAGUGCCAUAACGAGCGCAACCCUUAUCUUCAGUUACUAACAGGUCAUGCUGAGGACUCUGGAGAGACUGCCGUCGUAAGAUGUGAGGAAGGUGGGGAUGACGUCAAAUCAGCACGGCCCUUACGUCCGGGGCUACACACGUGUUACAAUGGGGGGUACAGAAGGCAGCUAGCGGGUGACCGUAUGCUAAUCCCAAAAUCCUCUCUCAGUUCGGAUCGAAGUCUGCAACCCGACUUCGUGAAGCUGGAUUCGCUAGUAAUCGCGCAUCAGCCACGGCGCGGUGAAUACGUUCCCGGGCCUUGUACACACCGCCCGUCAAGCCAUGGGAGCCGGGGGUACCUGAAGUACGUAACCGCAAGGAUCGUCCUAGGGUAAAACUGGUGACUGGGG